UGGGGAAUUUUGGACAAUGGGCGAAAGCCUGAUCCAGCAAUGCCGCGUGUGUGAAGAAGGCCUUCGGGUUGUAAAGCACUUUUGUCCGGAAAGAAAUCCUUGGCUCUAAUACAGUCGGGGGAUGACGGUACCGGGAGAAUAAGCACCGGCUAACUACGUGCCAGCAGCCGCGGUAAUACGUAGGGUGCAAGCGUUAAUCGGAAUUACUGGGCGUAAAGCGUGCGCAGGCGGUUUGCUAAGACCGAUGUGAAAUCCCCGGGCUCAACCUGGGAACUGCAUUGGUGACUGGCAGGCUAGAGUAUGGCAGAGGGGGGUAGAAUUCCACGUGUAGCAGUGAAAUGCGUAGAGAUGUGGAGGAAUACCGAUGGCGAAGGCAGCCCCCUGGGCCAAUACUGACGCUCAUGCACGAAAGCGUGGGGAGCAAACAGGAUUAGAUACCCUGGUAGUCCACGCCCUAAACGAUGUCAACUAGUUGUUGGGGAUUCAUUUCCUUAGUAACGUAGCUAACGCGUGAAGUUGACCGCCUGGGGAGUACGGUCGCAAGAUUAAAACUUAAAUGAAUUGACGGGGUCAUA
rnacentral:rRNA from 1 species